UCCACGUCCGCGAGUCGCGCGGGUUUUGG
rnacentral:sRNA from 1 species